GACGAACGCUGGCGGCGUGCUUAACACAUGCAAGUCGAACGGAAAGGCCCUGCUUUGGUGGGGUGCGCGAGUGGCGAACGGGUGAGUAACACGUGAGUAACCUGCCCUUGACUUUGGGAUAACUUCAGGAAACUGGGGCUAAUACCGGAUAGGAGCUCCUGCUGCAUGGUGGGGGUUGGAAAGUUUCGGCGGUUGGGGAUGGACUCGCGGCUUAUCAGCUUGUUGGUGGGGUAGUGGCUUACCAAGGCUUUGACGGGUAGCCGGCCUGAGAGGGUGACCGGCCACAUUGGGACUGAGAUACGGCCCAGACUCCUACGGGAGGCAGCAGUGGGGAAUAUUGCACAAUGGGCGGAAGCCUGAUGCAGCAACGCCGCGUGCGGGAUGACGGCCUUCGGGUUGUAAACCGCUUUCGCCUGUGACGAAGCGUGAGUGACGGUAAUGGGUAAAGAAGCACCGGCUAACUACGUG
rnacentral:rRNA from 1 species